rnacentral:rRNA from 1 species
GGGUCAGUAGGUUGGUCGUGCCACCGGUACGUACUGGUCUCACUGAUUCCUCCUUCCUGAAGAACCGUAAUGCCAUUAAUUUGGUGUUGCGGGGAAACAGGACUGUUACUUUGAAAAAAUUAGAGUGUUUAAAGCAAGCUAACGCUUGAAUACAUUAGCAUGGUAUAAUGAAAUAGGUCGAUCGAUCGUAUUUUGUUUGUUUCUAGGAUUGACGUA